AGUGAACGCUGGCGGCAGGCCUAAUACAUGCAAGUCGAACGGCAGCACAGCAGAGCUUGCUCUGUGGGUGGCGAGUGGCGGACGGGUGAGGAAUACAUGGGAAUCUGCCCAGUCGUGGGGGAUAACGUAGGGAAACUUACGCUAAUACCGCAUACGACCUACGGGUGAAAGUGGGGGACCUUCGGGCCUCACGCGAUGAGAUGAGCCGAUGCCGGAUUAGCUAGUUGGCGGGGUAAAGGCCCACCAAGGCGACGAUCCGUAGCUGGUCUGAGAGGAUGAUCAGCCACACUGGAACUGAGACACGGUCCAGACUCCUACGGGAGGCAGCAGUGGGGAAUAUUGGACAAUGGGGGCAACCCUGAUCCAGCCAUGCCGCGUGAGUGAAGAAGGCCCUCGGGUUGUAAAGCUCUUUUGUCCGGAAAGAAAAGCAAUCGGUUAAUACCCGGUUGUUCUGACGGUACCGGAAGAAUAAGCACCGGCUAACUUCGUGCCAGCAG
rnacentral:rRNA from 1 species